GCGCAGGUGGCGGAAUGGUAGACGCGCCAGCUUGAGGGGCUGGUCCCGGAUACUCUGGGGUGGAGGUUCAAGUCCUCUCCUGCGCACCA
rnacentral:tRNA from 1 species